GGAAAGUUUUAUUCUUGCUAGUGUGUUUAUUUGUCUUCUUUGGCUUAUAUGCGAAUUUUUGUUUUAAUUAAUUUCUUAAAGGAUUAAUUUGAUAAUUUUGGAUUAUUAUGCAGUAUGUAGUUUUAUUAAAUUGGGUUGUUCUUGAUUUAGCAAUAGAGUUUAAUUUCAGUUAAAUUUGUGCCAGCAGCUGCGGUUAUACAUGGGAUGUUAAUAAAUAUAAUUGGUAUGUAGUUAUUAUUAUUAAUUGGUAUUAGUUUGAUUUAAUUUGGUUAGGUGAAAUUUUAUUUUUAUGAUGUUAAUUUUUAAUUUGGAGGCUAUGAAAUCUAUUUAAUUAGACUAGGAUUAGAUACCCUAUUAUUUAUGAUGUAAAUUUUUUUAUGCCUGAGUAGUAUUAGUUUUGUUCUUGAAACUUAAAGAAUUUGGCGGUAUUUUAGUCUUCUUAGAGGAAUCUGUCCCUUAAUCGAUAUUCCACGUUGAAUACUUACUUAAUUUAAUGUUUAUAUACCGCCGUAUAAUGAGAUAUCUUCUUAGAGUAGAAAAGUUUCUUGUUUUUAAUUGAAUUACUUUCAGGUCAAGGUUUAAUUUAUGAUUAAGUGGAGAUGGAUUACAAUAUUUUUUGAUUAGGAUGGAUCUUUUAUUGUAAUAGUUGAGGUGAAGGUGGAUUUAAUAGUAAUUUGAUUUAGAAUAUUUAGGUGAUCUUAGCUCUAUAAUAUGUACACAUCGCCCGUCGCUCUCGUUAUUAAGGUGAGAUAAGUCGUAACAUAGUAGCUGUACUGGAAAGUGUGGCUAGAUAUAU
rnacentral:ncRNA from 1 species